GUGUCAGCAGCCGCGGUAAUACGUAGGGGGCGAGCGUUGUCCGGAAUUACUGGGCGUAAAGGGUGCGUAGGCGGCCUCAGAAGUCAGGUGUGAAAUACCGUGGCUUAACCACGGGGGUGCAUUUGAAACUUUGAGGCUUGAGUGCAGGAGAGGAAAGUGGAAUUCCUAGUGUAGCGGUGAAAUGCGUAGAGAUUAGGAGGAACACCAGUGGCGAAGGCGACUUUCUGGACUGUAACUGACGCUGAUGCACGAAAGCGUGGGUAGCGAACAGGAUUAGAUACCCUGGUAGUCCACGCCGUAAACGAUGGAUACUAGGUGUAGGAGGUAUCGACCCCUUCUGUGCCGUAGUUAACGCAAUAAGUAUCCCGCCUGGGGAGUACGUGCGCAAGCAUGAAACUCAAAUGAAUUGACGG
rnacentral:rRNA from 1 species